GUUCUUUGUUGAGCCCCCCUUGUGUACUCUACGCUGAAUGUAGCCAACUACACUAUUUUGCGGUACUUCGAAGGCCAGUGUUUUCAACCACGUGCAGCUUCAUAAACUUCGCACAGACGACGAGAAGAACGCUGAGUUGCGCAGACUCUGAUCGCGCAUUUUCCAUGACCUACAGGCGGCCACGAGCGCAACAUUACGAAAUCUUACCAGAAUAGGAAUUUGGUAUGAUGCCAGGAAUGGCCACAUUACAGUUCAACGUGCAUCAAUCACUGCUACUAUUGUUACAUAAUAACGUACAGUCAUUGAUUUAACGAGUACACACCCUGUGGUGACAUUCCUCAACCAAAUCAUGUUGCUACUAAAACAUAUGACGGCCUUAAAUACUAGGCUACCGAAUUGUAAGAAUAUAGCUUACACGAGCAGAAAUCGGUCGCUAAUCAAUCUAAAACAAAGUAGGCUCAAUGUCAAUAAUCCUACCUUUUCUUGGCUACAAGAGACAUGCCACGUUACUUUUGUAGUGACAUUGACAACAUAUAUAAAUAAGUAAGUUAAACGACCACGAAGGGACUCGAACCCUCAAUCUUCUGAUUCGAAGUCAGACGCCUUAUCCAUUAGGCCACGCGGUCUACGAAAAAGACCACAAUCACUUGCAAUUUAAGGCUAGCUAUGGAGCAAAACCUACCAAUAUUAGCAUAAAGAAUCAUGCAUAUUUUAAAUGUGACAUUAAUUUAAUAAUUUAUAUACAGAAUUACAAUAUCUGUCCAUAUGUAUCUUGUAUACAAAAUUAUAUUAAUUAUUCAGUUUGAAGUUUGCAAAUUAACACCACAACAUCAGAGGGAUAUAAUAAGGGGAGGAUGUGGGUCUAGCCUACUAGAUGUUAUGACAAUUAGGAAAUUGUGUAAUGGAAACCAAGUUUGACAACAGCUAUAUUGAAAUGCUAGUAUAGUCUUAACGAAAACUCAAACAUGUCAAUUGCUAGAUACAUUUAGAUGUAAGUCCAGUUCACAAUAUCAACACAACCUACAUGGGAGAAUGCAGUCUGCCAUUAUUAAGCAACUGUUGAGUUAAAUAAAUAAAAACUGAAAACUGAGCUAUAAAGUGCAUAAAAAAAAAACUAUUGUCAUCAUUGACAGAUAAACUUCAUUAAAGUGUUAAAAGCAAAGCAGACAGAGAAUGUUGAUUUCUUCCCAAUUUCUUUAAUCUGCCUGGUGACCACAAAUAUGUAAACAUUUCAUGGUAUGGUCUACACCUGUUGUAUUCAGCGCAUGUGAAGAUAACAUUUGAUUUGAUUUCAACAAGCAUAGGAACCCAAUUACACUGAUGCUUCCUGCUGCAUCGAAAGGGGACUAUGGAGCCAGAUUCCUGCCAAAAGGUUGAAUGUACACUACCAUUCGAAAGUUUGGGGUCACUUAGAAAUGUCCUUGUUUUUGAAAGAAAAGCACAUUUUUUGUCCAUUUAAAAUAACAUCAAAUUGAUCAGAAAUACAGUGUAGACAUUGUUAAUGUUGUAAAUGACUAUUGUAGCUGGAAACGGCUGAUUUGAAAAUAUUUUUUGGUUUGUUGAAUAUCUACAUAGGUGUACAGAGACCCAUUAUCAGCAACCAUCACUCCUGUGUUCCAAAGGCACGUUGUGAUAGCUAAUCCAAGUUUAUCAUCUUAAAAGGCUAAUUGAUCAUUAGAAAACUAUUUUGCAAUUAUGUUAGCACAGCUGAAAACUGUUGUUCUGAUUAAAGAAGCAAUAAAACUGUCUGCCUUUAGACUAGUUGAUUAUCUGGAGCAUCAGUAUUUGUGGGUUGGAUUACAGGCUCAAAAUGUCCAGAAACAAAGACUUUCUUCUGAAACUCGUCAGUCUAUUCUUGUUCUGUAGAUUGCUUAGGGCUAUCAAGAUAAAGGUAAACUGUGUAGGCAAGGAGAUUGAAUCUAAAACAAGUGUACUUAUCUUGGUGUGUCUCUAGAUCAAUCCCUUUCUGGAGACCCGAUUGCUGCCAAAAUUCUUUCUAAAAUGGCAAACAAAUGUAUAUUUUUUAUAUCGUAACACUAGAUAUUUUAACAUCAAAGUGAAGAAAAUGCUUGUCUCAACCUUGAUUCCAUGUCAUUUUGAUUAUGUUUACUUUGCUUGGUAUAGUGUGCUAUCAAAAAAGCUGAAAAGGAGAAUGCAGGUCAUGCAAAAUAAUGUUAUCAGGUAUAUGCUGAAUGUCCCCCCAGGACCACAUAGGGGUUUCUGGAGUUCCGGGAGGUGGGCUCGUUGCCUUUGGAGUCCAGAGUGGACCAACUUAAACUUAAUCAUAUGUUUGACAUCUUAAAUGAUCGUGCCCCAGGUUAUAUGAAAAACCACAUUGAUAUGGUCUAUAACCAACACAGUUACAAUACUAGAGCUAAUGUUAUGUCUUGUAAAAUCAGUACUGCGUAAGAGUAAACAGUACUGCGAGGAGCAAAUUUUUCUAUCCAGGCAUUUGUCUAUGGAAUAGCUUCCCCCUGGAGAUCAAGCAAAGAAAAAGUAGAAAUUGCUUUAAAAAGCAGGCAAAGGUUUUAAUUUGUUCAAGGUUGUCUUAAGUAAAAGAAACCACUCCACUUCCCCUUGUGACCCCUACUGCUGGUCAGGUGUAUGGAUUUGAAGGAUCGGUAUGAUGUGCAAUGGAUAAAUUGUUUUAAUGCAAAAUAAAUAUGGUUGAUUUUUAAGGUAAGGGGAAAAGUGCAGUGAAUAGGGCCAUUUUUUAGGAUGUCAAAAUAAAUGAAUGUAUUUAUGGUUGUUUGUAAUUUUGUCUUGCCUUUUAAUCAUUAUAUGUGCUAUUGUUUUUACCAUCGAGGACCACUUUGGAAACAAGUGUUUUAAUUCAUACUUUCAAGUGAUAUCCUUUGUGUCCACAUCGUACAUUUUGUUGUAUAUGUCUGUUACCCAAAGUAAAUUAAAUUCAAUACCAGUAGAUGACGUAGAAUAGGCUUGGGCUUCCAGGAAAUGACUUGUGUGAGAAUGAUAGACACAGAAGAGCCUUGUCUAGAAUAACCACCUGAGCUGCAAAAUAGAAAGUAAAUGUGAUUUAGGCCUAUUCCGCUAUCUAAAUAUGCCAUGUUGUGUGUUAUUUAAUGGCCAUAUAAUUGCAUAAUUUAUUUUUAUAGCUGUGUCGGGCUAUUGUGGUGGUCAUGUAACCUAAUGAAUCAAACUUUUUCCAGUAUUUGGGAGCACUGACUGUAGGUCUUAUAUUAGGCUGUUGUAUUAGUGAAUUCACUCUGUAUUUAGGCUUGUUAUAGCCAUUUGCAUUGCACAACCCCAUCACGCAGAGGCUAUAUCCAUAUCAAUAAAUGAGAAAACGAAAUAUUGA